rnacentral:rRNA from 1 species
UGUAAGCGUAUACCAAAGUUGUUGCAGUUAAAACGCUCGUAGUCGGAAUUUGGCAGUUCCGGAUGUGUGCACGUCGUGUGCGCACUUCGCGGGGAUUGCUUUUGUGGUCUUGCGUAGGAUGAGGCACUUUUAUUAGUGAACGUCCUCACGCAACCACUUUUUACUGUGAGAAAAUCAGAGUGCUCAAAGCAGGCAUUUGCCGUGAAUGUAUUAGCAUGGAAUAAUAGAAUAGGACUUGGUACUAUUUUGUUGGUUUGUUGGGACUGAGUAAUGAUUAAGAGGGACAGUUGGGGGCAUUUGUAUUUCGGUGCUAGAGGUGAAAUUCUUAGAUUACCGAAAGACAAACUGCUGCGAAAGCGUCUGCCAAGGAUGUUUUCAUUGA